GCCUGAUCAGCCAUGCCGCGUGUGUGAAGAAGGCCUUCGGGUUGUAAAGCACUUUCAGCGAGGAAGAACGCCUUGGGAUUAAUACUCCCGAGGAAAGACAUCACUCGCAGAAGAAGCACCGGCUAACUCCGUGCCAGCAGCCGCGGUAAUACGGAGGGUGCAAGCGUUAAUCGGAAUUACUGGGCGUAAAGCGCGCGUAGGUGGCUAAGUCAGCCAGGUGUGAAAGCCCCGGGCUCAACCUGGGAACGGCAUCUGGAACUGCUUGGCUAGAGUGCAGGAGAGGAAGGUAGAAUUCCCGGUGUAGCGGUGAAAUGCGUAGAGAUCGGGAGGAAUACCAGUGGCGAAGGCGGCCUUCUGGACUGACACUGACACUGAGGUGCGAAAGCGUGGGUAGCAAACAGGAUUAGAUACCCUGGUAGUCCACGCCGUAAACGAUGUCAACUAGCCGUUGGGUCCCUUGAGGACUUAGUGGCGCAGCUAACGCAAUAAGUUGACCGCCUGGGGAGUACGGCCGCAAGGUUAAAACUCAAAUGAAUUGACGGGGGCCCGCACAAGCGGUGGAGCAUGUGGUUUAAUUCGAUGCAACGCGAAGAACCUUACCUACCCUUGACAUCCAGAGGACUUUCCAGAGAUGGAUUGGUGCCUUCGGGAACUCUGAGACAGGUGCUGCAUGGCUGUCGUCAGCUCGUGUUGUGAAAUGUUGGGUUAAGUCCCGUAACGAGCGCAACCCCUAUCCUUAUUUGCCAGCGAGUAAUGUCGGGAACUCUAAGGAGACUGCCGGUGACAAACCGGAGGAAGGUGGGGACGACGUCAAGUCAUCAUGGCCCUUACGGGUAGGGCUACACACGUGCUACAAUGGCAAGUACAAAGGGUUGCAAUACUGCGAAGUGGAGCCAAUCCCAUAAAGCUUGCCUCAGUCCGGAUUGGAGUCUGCAACUCGACUCCAUGAAGUCGGAAUCGCUAGUAAUCGUGGAUCAGAAUGCCACGGUGAAUACGUUCCCGGGCCUUGUACACACCGCCCGUCACACCAUGGGAGUGGACUGCACCAGAAGUGGUUAGCCUAACCUUCGGGAGGGCGAUCACCACGGUGUGGUUCAUGACUGGGUGAUCGU
rnacentral:rRNA from 1 species